AUGUCAUCAAGGAAAAAUCUAAACCAGCCCCUGAGAAGAAAGGCGGAAAUUAUCGAGGAGAAAAUUAAACCAGCUCCUAUAAAGAAAGAGCCAGAGGUUCCUAAAGAAAAGACACUUGAACCAACACCAGAACCUGCAAAGAGAGUUGAAGCUCCAAAGGAAAGGGCGAAACUAGUCCCUAAAGAAAAAGCACCUGAGAUAACUAAAGAAAAACCAAAACCAGCACCAAAGAAAGGUACUGCAAUUUUUCAUAAGAAUAAAGCCAUAAAAGUCCCUGAUUUUAAGUAA
rnacentral:lncRNA from 1 species